rnacentral:rRNA from 1 species
AUUGAACGCUGGCGGCAGGUCUAACACAUGCAAGUCGAGCGGAGCGGCGGACGGGUGAGUAAUGCCUAGGAAUCUGUCUGGUAGUGGGGGAUAACGUCCGGAAACGGGCGCUAAUACCGCAUACUAUCAGAUGAGCCUAGGUCGGAUUAGCUAGUUGGUGGGGUAAAGGCCUACCAAGGCGACGAUCCGGAACUGGUCUGAGGGGAUGCUCAGUCACACUGUGACUGAGACAGGGUCCGGACUCCUACGGGAGGCAGCAGUGGGGAAUAUUGGACGAUGGGCGAAAGCCUGAUCCAGCCAUGCCGCGUGUGUGAAGAAGGUCUUCGGAUUGUAAAGCACUUUAAGGUGGGAUGCGUUACCAACAGAAUAGGCACCGGCUAACUUCGUGCCAGCAGCCGCGGUAAUUC